GUGCUUGCUUCAGCAGCACAUAUACUAAUAUUGGAACGAUACAGAGAAGAUUAGCAUGGCCCCUGCACAAGGAUGACAUGCAAAUUCAUGAAGCAUCCCAUUUUUAU
rnacentral:snRNA from 1 species